UUCCCUAGGUGGACCUGCGAAAGGAUCAUUACCUAGAGUUUGUGGGCUUUGCCGGCUAUCUCUUACCCAUGUCUUUUGAGUACUUACGUUCCUCGGGUGGGCUCGGCCCGCCGAUUGGACAAAAUUUAAACCCUUUGCAGUUGCAAUCAGGGUCUGAAAAACAUAAUAGUUACAACUUUCAACAACGGAUCUCUUGGUUCUGGCAUCGAUGAAGAACGCAGCGAAAUGCGAUAAGUAGUGUGAUGCAGAAUUCAGUGAAUCAUCGAAUCUUUGAACGCACAUUGCGCCCCUUGGUAUUCCAUGGGGCAUGCCUGUUCGAGCGUCAUUUAGACUCGCCUCAAAACAAUUGGCAGCCGGCGUAUUGAUUUCGGAGCGCGUACCUUCAAGCUUUGCUUGGUGUUGGGUGUUUGUCUCGCCUCUGUGUGUAGUACAUCUCGCGCCUUGCACUCAUAACGACGACGUCCAAAAGUACAUUUUUUA
rnacentral:rRNA from 1 species